GUGCUUGCUUAGGCAGCACAUAUACUAAAAUUGGAACGAUACAGAGAAGAUUAGCAUGGUCCCUGCACAAGGAUGACACACAAAUUCACUCAAUAUUAAAAAAAAAAAU
rfam:Erinaceus europaeus unplaced genomic scaffold scaffold00108, whole genome shotgun sequence